rnacentral:rRNA from 1 species
GGCAGGUACAGCGGGAAGCCACCUGGCGACAGGGCGCGGAACCCGAAAACCUGUCUCAGUUCGGAUUGGAGUCUGCAACCCGACUCCAUGAAGCUGGAUUCGCUAGUAAUCGCGCAUCAGCCACGGCGCGGUGAAUACGUUCCCGGGCCUUGUACACACCGCCCGUCAAGCCAUGGAAGCCGGGAGUGCCUGAAGUGCGUGACCGCAAGGAGCGUCCUAAGGCAAUACCGGUGACUGGGGCUAAGUCGUAACAAGGUACC